AUGGAGUCCCAUUCCCAUUCGGAUUCCAACUCCAAUCCACAGCAACAACAACAACAACAAGAUUCUUCUUAUGCUUCUUGUUGUUGUUGUUGUUGUAAUGGAUUAGGAGGAGGAGGAGCUGCUGCUGCUCCUAGUACAACAAUUAAGGAGGGGGCGGAGGAGGAGCAACAACAACAAGAAGAAGAAGAAGAUUUGGGCUUGAAACUGGAUUUGGAUUUGGAUUUGAAUGCCCCCCUCCUCCUUCCCCACCCCCUCAACAAGAAGCUGCAGCUGCAACAAGAAGAAGAUGUGGGUGUGGAGGAGGAAGAAGAAGAAGAAGAAGAAGAAGAAGAAGAAGAAGAAGAUAACACAAGAAGAAGAAGAAGAAGAAGAAGAAGAAAAGGAGGAAAAGUGGUUCGCUUCAACGACUGCAGCCUCACCCAGGUCCUCGAGUUCCAGCCUAGCAGCUCCCGUGAGGACGCCAUCUCCUUGUGUGCCCGGCUUUGCACUUGGCUCUGCGGAUCAGAAACUACUGAUGAUGAUCAUCAUCAUCCAUCCUCAUAG
rnacentral:rRNA from 1 species